rfam:Papilio machaon contig65040, whole genome shotgun sequence.
AGCGGGAUGGCGCAGAGGAAGCGUGCUGGGCCCAUAACCCAGAGGUCCGUGGAUCGAAACCAUGUCCCGCUA